rnacentral:rRNA from 1 species
UGGGGAAUAUUGCACAAUGGGGGAAACCCUGAUGCAGCGACGCCGCGUGAGCGAUGAAGGCUUUCGAGUCGUAAAGCUCUGUCCUAUGGGAAGAUAAUGACGGUACCAUAGAAGAAAGCCCCGGCUAAUUACGAGCCAGCAGCCGCGGUAAUACGUAAGGGGCGAGCGUUGUCCGGAAUUAUUGGGCGUAAAGAGUGCGUAGGCGGCAAAUUAAGUCAGUUGUGAAAACUAAGGGCUCAACCCAUAGAUUGCAUCUGAAACUGAUAUGCUUGAGUCAAGGAGAGGAAAGUGGAAUUCCUAGUGUAGCGGUGGAAUGCGUAGAUAUUAGGAGGAAUACCGGUGGCGAAGGCGACUGUCUGGACUUGAACUGACGCUGAGGCACGAAAGCGUGGGGAGCAAACAGG